rnacentral:rRNA from 1 species
CCCAAGUACGGCGAGUGAAGCGGCAACAGCUCAAAUUUGAAAUCUGGCUCUUUCAGGGUCCGAGUUGUAAUUUGCAGAGGGCGCUUUGGCGUUGGCAGCGGUCCAAGUUCUUUGGAACAGGACGUCACAGAGGGUGAGAAUCCCGUACGUGGUCGCUAGCCUUCGCCGUGUAAAGCCCCUUCGACGAGUCGAGUUGUUUGGGAAUGCAGCUCUAAAUGGGAGGUAAAUUUCUUCUAAAGCUAAAUACUGGCCAGAGACCGAUAGCGCACAAGUAGAGUGAUCGAAAGAUGAAAAGCACUUUGGAAAGAGAGUCAAAUAGCACGUGAAAUUGUUGAAAGGGAAGCGCUUGCAGCCAGACUUGCCUGUAGUUGCUUAUCUGGACUUUUGUCCGGUGCACUCUUCUGCGGGCAGGCCAGCAUCAGUUUGGGCGGUUGGAUAAAGGUCUCUGUCAUGUACCUCCUUUCGGGGAGGCCUUAUAGGGGAGACGACAUGCAACCAGCCUGGACUGAGGUCCGCGCAUCUGCUAGGAUGCUGGCGUAAUGGCUGUAAGCGGCCCGUCUUGAAACACGGACCAAGGAGUCUAACAUCUAUGCGAGUGUUUGGGUGUCAAGCCCAGACGCGUAAUGAAAGUGAACGGAGGUGGGAACCCUUUGGGUGCACCAUCGACCGAUCCUGAUGUCUUCGGAUGGAUUUGAGUAAGAGCAUGGCUGUUGGGACCCGAAAGAUGGUGAACUAUGCUUGAAUAGGGUGAAGCCAGAGGAAACUCUGGUGGAGGCUCGCAGCGGUUCUGACGUGCAAAUCGAUCGUCAAAUUUGGGCAUAGGGGC